CGCCAUCUCUGCCAGGUUCUCCAGCAGCUCCUCUGGGCCCUGCAGGGCCUGGAGCACCACGCUCUCCAGCAGGACCCUAAGUAGUGAAAGAAAUUUUAAAAAAAUUAAAAUAGCCUUCACUAACCUAGAUAGCAACAAUAUUUUGGUUACAAAGAGAGGACGUCAUUUGAACUUUUAAAAAGGGUUCGUGUGUUGCUGAAACAUUUAUACAUAAAAUCAGUUAUCUUAGCUUGGAUUGCCAUAUUGAAAAAAUUUUAAAGCAACUUUGUGAACAUCACAUGCUUAAUAAAACAGUAUUCACUGUGCUUAAAAAUAUAAUUAUGUGCAGCUAAAAUCAAAUAUCUUAAUGCUAUGAAAUCAUAUUUGAUGUAACCUUAGAGUUUUCAAAGACUUUUCAGGCAUUUUAGUUUACUGUACUCUUGCAACGAUGCUCAGAUAAAUGCUUUCCAAUUAACAGAUAAGUAAAGGAUUCUCAUAGAGGGUAAGUAAGUGGCUUUAGUUACAAAGCCAGGAAAGUUGUUGAACAGAGGAUGCAUUAUAUUAGGAAUUUUUCUUAACUCUAAUAUAUAUUCUUCAGAUAUUUAGGUUUUCAUGAAUGAGAAAUUG
rnacentral:lncRNA from 1 species